AAUUGGAGGGCAAGUCUGGUGCCAGCAGCCGCGGUAAUUCCAGCUCCAAUAGCGUAUAUUAAAGUUGUUGCAGUUAAAAAGCUCGUAGUUGAAUUUCGAGACCGGUUUAUUGGUCGUGCUUUUGUACGUACUGGUAUUAUUGGUUUCUCCUUUCUGACGAAUCUUAAUGCCAUUAAUUUGGUGUUUUGGGGAAUCAGAACUGUUACUUUGAAAAAAUUAGAGUGUUUAAAGCAGGCUAACGCUUGAAUACAUUAGCAUGGAAUAAUGAAAUAGGACGUUCGAUCCUAUUUUGUUGGUUUCUAGGAUUGACGUAAUGAUUAAUAGGGAUAGUUGGGGGCAUUAGUAUUCAAUUGUCAGAGGUGAAAUUCUUGGAUUUAUUGAAGACUAACUACUGCGAAAGCAUUUGCCAAGGAUGUUUUCAUUAAUCAAGAACGAAAGUUAGGGGAUCGAAGACGAUCAGAUACCGUCGUAGUCUUAACCAUAAACUAUGCCGACUAGGGAUCGGAUGAUGUUAAUUUUUUAAUGACUCAUUCGGCGCCUUACGGGAAACCAAAGUGU
rnacentral:rRNA from 1 species